CCGGCAUCGAUGAAGAACGCAGCGAAAUGCGAUAACUAAUGUGAAUUGCAGAAUUCAGUGAAUCAUCGAGUCUUUGAACGCACAUUGCGCCCCCUGGUAUUCCGGGGGGCAUGCCUGUCCGAGCGUCAUUGCUGCCCUCAAGCCCGGCUUGUGUGUU
rnacentral:rRNA from 1 species